UUUCCAUAGGUGAACCUGCGGAAGGAUCAUUA
rnacentral:rRNA from 1 species